CAAAUCAAACAGACAACGAAAAAGAGAUCGGUGGUGGCUAGUAGGCCGGUGACGACGACCGCCGAGCACCGCCUGAACAGGCAGGGGAGCCAACUUCGGUGGAAGUCGUGACAGAGCCUAUUUGCAAUGUGUUUACACAGUGGGAAAUGCAGACGUAUUUUCUUGAAACCACUGAUCAUGACCAUUUAGCCCACGGGAUGAAAAUCCUGGACAGCAGCUGGGCAUGUUGUUUUGGAGCUGAGAGAUCAUCAGACUGUGAUAAACGCUCCUCAGGCACCAGGCCCCCUGAUGAACAGAUGGCCGUAGCCAGGAGCAGCAGAUGAGCUGAACCGGAAUGUGGACCGGACACUCCAUGAACAUGGAGUCAUUAGAAAACUCCAAAGGAAAGAAACUUCCUGUCUCAAACCUCCAAAUAUUUUGACUUGAGGGAACAAAGUGGCGUCUGAUGGUCUGAUGGUCUGCUCCCCCAAUAUGUUGUUUUGGCUCUUCUAGUCAAAACAGGAUCCAGUAAACAGCAUGUUGACAUGUUCAAUAACACACAAUGAACCUGAAAAGGGAUCAUGAGGAACUCAUUGAGAUCCUUGACUUCGUAUACUCUAACUGUAACCUGUGACGUAAGAUGUAAGACGGACAACAGGUGUAUGUAGGGGAGUGGGGCGGUGCAUUAACGUUGAACUGUCAGUGCAGAAAAUGAAAUGUGUUUUUACCUAAGAAAUUGUUCAUUGAAUAUCAAAUUGUUCAUUAAUCUCCUGAAUUGACUGAAUAAAAAAUGGAACUGAU
ensembl:lncRNA